rnacentral:rRNA from 1 species
CCUACGGGAGGCAGCAGUGAGGAAUAUUGGUCAAUGGGCGCGAGCCUGAACCAGCCAAGUCGCGUGAGGGAUGAAGGUUCUAUGGAUCGUAAACCUCUUUUAUAAGGGAAUAAAGUGUGGGACGUGUCCUAUUUUGUAUGUACCUUAUGAAUAAGGCUCGGCUAACUCCGUGCCAGCAGCCGCGGUAAUACGGAGGAUCCGAGCGUUAUCCGUAUUUAUUGGGUGUAAAGGGUGCGUAGGCGGCCUUUUAUGUCAGCGGUGAAAGUCUGUGGCUCAACCAUAGAAUUGCCGUUGAAACUGGGAGGCUGGAGUAUGUGUGAGGCAGGCGGAAUGCGUGGUGUAGCGGUGAAAUGCUUAGAGAUCACGCAGAACCCCGAUUGCAAAGGCAGCCUGCCAAGCCAUGACUGACGCUGAUGCACGAAAGCGUGGGGAUCAAACAGGAUUAGAUACCCUAGUAGUC